rnacentral:rRNA from 1 species
UACGUAGGGUGCAAGCGUUAAUCGGAAUUACUGGGCGUAAAGCGUGCGCAGGCGGUUGUGCAAGACAGAUGUGAAAUCCCCGGGCUCAACCUGGGAACUGCAUUUGUGACUGCACGGCUGGAGUGCGGCAGAGGGGGGAUGGAAUUCCGCGUGUAGCAGUGAAAUGCGUAGAUAUGCGGAGGAACACCGAUGGCGAAGGCAAUCCCCUGGGGCCAUAACUGACGCUGAGGAGCGAAAGCAUGGG